rnacentral:rRNA from 1 species
CCUACGGGAGGCAGCAGUGAGGAAUAUUGGUCAAUGGACGAGCGUCUGAACCAGCCAAGUAGCGUGAAGGAUGACUGCCCUAUGGGUUGUAAACUUCUUUUAUAUGGGAAUAAAAUGUUCCACGUGUGGGCUUUUGUAUGUACCAUAUGAAUAAGGAUCGGCUACCUCCGUGCCAGCAGCCGCGGUAAUACGGAGGAUCCGAGCGUUAUCCGGAUUUAUUGGGUUUAAAGGGAGCGUAGGUGGAUUGUUAAGUCAGUUGUGAAAGUUUGCGGCUCAACCGUAAAAUUGCAGUUGAAACUGGCAGUCUUGAGUACAGUAGAGGUGGGCGGAAUUCGUGGUGUAGCGGUGAAAUGCUUAGAUAUCACGAAGAACUCCGAUUGCGAAGGCAGCUCACUGGACUGCAACUGACACUGAGGCUCGAAAGUGUGGGUAUCAAACAGGAUUAGAUACCCGAGUAGUC